GUGGGGAAUUUUGGACAAUGGGCGCAAGCCUGAUCCAGCAAUGCCGCGUGCAGGAAGAAGGCCUUCGGGUUGUAAACUGCUUUUGUACGGAACGAAACGGUCCUGGCUAAUAUCCGGGGCUAAUGACGGUACCGUAAGAAUAAGCACCGGCUAACUACGUGCCAGCAGCCGCGGUAAUACGUAGGGUGCGAGCGUUAAUCGGAAUUACUGGGCGUAAAGCGUGCGCAGGCGGUUUUGUAAGACAGGCGUGAAAUCCCCGGGCUCAACCUGGGAAUUGCGCUUGUGACUGCAAGGCUGGAGUGCGGCAGAGGGGGAUGGAAUUCCGCGUGUAGCAGUGAAAUGCGUAGAUAUGCGGAGGAACACCGAUGGCGAAGGCAAUCCCCUGGGCCUGCACUGACGCUCAUGCACGAAAGCGUGGGGAGCAAACAGGAUUAGAUACCCUGGUAGUCC
rnacentral:rRNA from 1 species